CAAAUCCCUAAAAGACCAUCCCAGUUCGGAUCGCAGGCUGCAACCCGCCUGCGUGAAGUUGGAAUCGCUAGUAAUCGCGGAUCAGCAUGCCGCGGUGAAUACGUUCCCGGGCCUUGUACACACCGCCCGUCACACCAUGAGAGUUGGAGAUACCCGAAGCCUAUGAGCUAACUUUUAGAGGCAGUAGUCGAAGGUAGAAUCAAUGAUUGGGGUGAAGUCGUAACAAGGUAUC
rnacentral:rRNA from 1 species